rnacentral:rRNA from 1 species
UACGUAGGGUGCAAGCGUUGUCCGGAAUUAUUGGGCGUAAAGAGCUCGUAGGCGGUCUGUCACGUCGGCUGUGAAAACCUGGGGCUCAACUCCGGGCCUGCAGCCGAUACGGGCAGACUAGAGUUCGGCAGGGGAGACUGGAAUUCCUGGUGUAGCGGUGAAAUGCGCAGAUAUCAGGAGGAACACCGGUGGCGAAGGCAGCCCCCUGGGCUGAGAUUGACGCUCAGGCACGAAAGCGUGGGGAGCAAACAGG